UACAUGGGGUGCAAACGUUGCUCGGAAUUAUUGGGCGUAAAGCGCACGUAGGCGGUCCGUUAAGUCGGAUGUGAAAGCCCCCGGCUCAACCGGGGAAGUGCAUCCGAAACUGGCAGGCUAGAGUACGAAAGAGGGUCGCGGAAUUCCCGGUGUAGAGGUGAAAUUCGUAGAUAUCUGGAGGAACACCGGUGGCGAAGGCGGCAUCCUGGACCGGUAUUGACGCUGAGGCGCGAAAGCUAGGGGAGCAAACGGG
rnacentral:rRNA from 1 species